ACUUUGCCAAGUGGUUCAUGAGCAGCUGUAACAUCUGCCGAUUUUUCUCUGGGAGCCGAUGAACAAGGCUGUGGAUUUCAGAGACCCGAGACUCCUGGUUCUCCAGUUCUGCAAAGGAAGGAGGGAGGUAAUAUCUUAUCAGUGUCACAGCUAAACAACUUUAAGGUUGAAAAAUUAAGGGAAACCAAAGGAUGAGCACUAACAGCCCAAGGAUUUCUCAAAGAUUUACAAUCCUGUCUUGUGUGCAUACUGCGUGGCCAGCAUGACUAGAUCUGGAAGUCCUUUUAAUGGUGCUUUCUGGAACAGGGUUGCCAAAAAAAUUGUCAUCAAAAAAUCAAAGCCAAGAUGAUGAUGUGAUGAAAUGGAGCCAGUCAACUGCACACCCAGAGCUGCUCCUGAGAACAAACUCAGGAGUAGCUGGCUCCCUAGAGGGAAGACUUCAUUUCAAGGAAGUAAGGAACUUUAUGCACUUGUAAAGUGAUAAACAAAUCUUACAUGAACAACAUUGCAAGGGUUUCAAAUAUCAAAAUAACACCUUGAGACAGCAUCAAAGAUAUCAAAGGAAAUGUCCAGUAUCCUCAAGUCACAUAUGACAACCAGCCUGCUAGAAAGAAAGAAAUGGCAGAUAAAAUAUUCAAGUCUUUCUGCCAACUUGUAACCUAAAUCAUGGCUUGUCACAUUCUCUUGGUUGAACCAAGUCUAUCCUCAGAAAAUAAGAUAAGGCACGAGAAAAGUUACAGACCCCAGAAACGUUCAGCACACACUCUUCUUUGCAAAAGCAGAAAAAACAACAAAAAAAGGAGACAACCUAAAUGUCCAACGAUAGAAGAAUGAUUAAGUGAAUUACCGUAUGUCUACCUGAUGGAAUAUUACCUCGCCGAUUUAUAUGACAACGAUGACUGUAAAGCAACAUGGAAAAUGCCUGCAUUAUAUAAUGUCAAAUAAAAAAAAACAAGAUA